rnacentral:rRNA from 1 species
UACGGAGGGUGCAAACGUUGCUCGGAAUCAUUGGGCGUAAAGCGCACGUAGGCGGCGAAGCAAGUCGGGUGUGAAAGCCCUGGGCUCAACCCAGGAAGUGCAUUCGAAACUAUUUCGCUUGAAUCUCGGAGGGGGUCAGAGAAUUCCCGGUGUAGAGGUGAAAUUCGUAGAUAUCGGGAGGAAUACCAGUGGCGAAGGCGCUGACCUGGACGAAGAUUGACGCUGAGGUGCGAAAGCGCGGGGAGCAAACAGA